CGGUAGGUCAGUAUGCCCCGAAUUUCCCGGGCUACACGCGGGCUACAAUGAAUGGGACAAUGGGUCCCUACCCCGAGAGGGGUUGGUAAUCUCCCAAACCCAUCCGUAGUUCGGAUCGAGGGCUGUAACUCGCCCUCGUGAAGCUGGAAUCCGUAGUAAUCGCGUUUCAAUAUAGCGCGGUGAAUACGUCCCUGCUCCUU
rnacentral:rRNA from 1 species